AUGGUCAUUUGCCAGCUACCACCUCCUAUAAUCUCGCAUUAAUCACCAUUAUAUAUACAGAACACUUCACCGAUCUCUUCUCACACGCCAAAAAUCUCCAACUAAGAUCGUUCAUAUUUGUGUUAAUUACAAUUAGCUGAGUAAUUAGGCAGUAAUAUUAUUAUCUGAUUAGAGAGAUAAUGAUGGUGAAGGAGGUAAGCUACAUGCAGAACUGGGUGGAAGUUGCACCAACUCUGCUCAUAACGCACCAGAAAUCUUCAAAGUGUCCAAAGCUGGAAACCAUUGUUGAAGAAGGACCAGGAAAUAUUAUGGGGUCUCAAAUUAGCAUUGAAGUUGCACCGAUUUCGAAGAGGGCAUUGUUUCUUCUUCCUGUGUUUGUUUCUUUUGUUUCUUAUUUCUUGUUGUACAGACAAUAGGCCAAUUACCAGAUGUAGGCGAAUUGGAAAGGAAACUGUACAUGAAAUAGUUUGAAAGAUCGAGGGUAGAUUCGUCUCUAAAGAGAUAUAUAUGAACAGUGUAUAUGAUCAUGGCAUUCUUAUUGGAAAAUCAAUGGCAG
rnacentral:lncRNA from 1 species